UCAUCUGAGGCCAGUGUAGAAGACUCUAUUCAGGCAGAUGUAAAAUCUGAUGAAGAAAUGGAUGGUGGUGUUGAUGAUUUAAAAAUAAAUCAUGAAAAGAAGGAAUUGGGUGAAGACAAAAUGUUACCAAGCUCAAGUUUUACACCAUUAUCAUCUGCUGCCAUUGAUCAUCAGAUUGAAGUGCUUCUGUCUGAAUGGAGUAAAAACGCAGACAUGCUUUUCAGUAUUCAUCCCAUGGAUGGGUCUUUACUAGUUUGGCAUGUAGAUUGGCUAGAUGAAUACCAGCCUGGUAUGUUUCGUCAAGUUCAGGUGUCCUUUGUUUCCAGAAUCCCUGUAGCUUUCCCCACAGGUGAUGCAAACUCUCUUUGUAAAAGCAUAGUAAUGUACGCCUGUACCAAGAAUGUUGACUUGGCUAUUCAACAAGGAAAACAGAAACCUACUGGCCUCACUCGCUCUACAUCAAUGCUUAUCUCCUCUGGACACAGUAAAUCAUCAAAUAACUUAAAAUUAAGUAUUUUUACCC
rnacentral:lncRNA from 1 species